rnacentral:rRNA from 1 species
AACGGAGGGAACAAGUGUUAUUCGUAUUAAUGGGUGUAGAACGCGCGUAGAUGGCAUUUUUAGUUUAGUUUUAAAUUUUUAAAAUUAUUUAAGUGAAAUUUUAUACGAAAAUGCUUGAGUGCUUAUAAUACAACAGUAUCUUAAGUGUAAGGUGAAAUCUAAAAAAACUUUGAGACUAGCAAUUAGCGUAGGCGGUGUUAAGAAGUAAACUGACAUUGAGGCGCUAAAGCUUAGUAGCAAAUAGGAUUAGAGACCCUAGUAGUCUAGGCUUCACCUAUGAAUGUUAAUCAUAUAAUAAUUAUGUGGUUAGUUAACGCGAAAACAUUCUACCUGAGUACUACGGCCGCAAGGUGAAACUCAAAGAAAUUGGCGGAAAACCGU